rnacentral:tRNA from 1 species
GGGUAUAUAGCUCAGUGGUGGAGCACUUGCCUAACAUGCAUGAGGCCCUGGGUUCAAUUCCCAACACCA